CCACCGUGAGACUCUGGUCCAAAACUAUGAUCUCAAAUAGUCGGACAAUAGCAGUGCACUACAUCACCCUUGGCAACACACAAAAACCCCCUAGCAUGAUUGCUCAAGCUUAAAAGUAAAAAGGUUGCACCUGGGUUACCUGGACUAAUAAUAAAGAUAUAAUUUGUCUAUGUCUUAAGAUCAUAAUUGCUGAUUGUAAGACUUUAGCAACCGCUUAACAACCGUGUAUUCUCUUCCCCUUCCCGGUUUUGCGGUUUUUGCCUUUAUAAACUCUAACCUUUGGUUAUUCGGGGCUGCUCUGUUCAUGAUGAUCAGACAGCCCCAGCAUGCUGGAUAAUCAAUAAAGCUUCCCCUUGCUGUUUGCAUAAGAGAUGUCUCUUGGUGACGUUUUUCGGGCAGUCGACUCUAACAUUUGGAGGUCCCACCGAGACCUGACUGCUGCCUGCAGACGUCUCCAACGGAUAUCUCUCGGGAAGGGAAGUUACUACUGUUCUGCAGGACUCUCCAUUGUGAUGUACGGUUUGAUCCCCAGACCUUAUGUAAGGGAUGACUGACCUUUUCUGUAAUAAUGCCUGGCCACAGUAUAGGGCCCCAAACAACAACAACAACAACAAAAAAAAGGUUAAACUAUAAAAUAAUAUGACAACUAGAUCAAUUUUUCGGUGUAAAAAGUUACACUGACGACCUCAAAGUAUGCAAGCAGGUCACCACAGUUGAUCUUACCUAAAGGGUCAUAGUUCUCCUCAUGGGCACGGUCUUAACUCGCAGGAAAAUACUAAGUGUCAGAAUUUGCCCAUGACCAUAGUUUUUCUAACUCACCCUGAUAUUUAAAAAAAUCUCCAAAAAUCAGGAUUGGGUUGAGCACCCCCUUGACUGACAUCAUAGAGGCUGCCUCCUUGGUCUACUUUAUUAGAGACCAGGAAAACGAGGAGCAAGCUAGCAGCAGAGGAUAGGCAACAGACCAAUCAAUGGCUGUUUUACAUGGUGAUUGCCAUCAAGGAGACCCAGCAAGGCCAGUGCACCCCAAACGGCACCUGUUGCUGAUAUAAGGAGACAGGGCAUUGGGCAAGCAGCUGUCAUGACAGCAAAUGCCUUCUGUCAGCCCUGCCAAGAGCACGGCCACUGGACACGAAACUGCCCUGGGUGUCGAAGGACUCCUGGUUCAGAACCGCUGACCCUGUGGCCCCGAGCUAAAAAGCCUUUGGCUCUGCCCAGCCUCUGCCCAGCUUCCAGCUCCAGCCACUGCUAUUGAGGGGAUGGCCUAGGGUCAGUGACAUGCAAGUUGCCUAUUUCCAUCAGCCUCCUAUUCAGCUCUCCUCCUAGUCCAUCCAUGUAAUGCAAGUCAACAGGGUGCCUCCCUUAAAGGAGAUUUGCAUCUCUUUCAAUUCUCUUCCAGCACCCCAUGGACAGGUCUGGGCCUCACACACCCAGCCAGGCCUUAAAAGUCUAUCCAAUAACAUUAAGCUUAGAAAGCCCUCCCUGCCAGUUCCUAAAAACAGGGCUUUCAGUAACAGCUAACUCAGAUAGCCCUACACCAAUUUGAACAGGUCCUCACUGAGGACUUAAAGGGGCUAUCUCUUGAGGGGGGGUGCACAAUAAUCCAUAAUAUAAAUGGUUAAAUGUAAAUAAUUCAUUAGUCUGUCCUUUUCCCAGCCUGAGACUCUAGUUUUGUACAUUGGCUUAACUUCCUAGCAAAACUGGCUACUAAAUAUAAAAAAAAAAAAAAAAAAAAAAAAAAUUGUCUCUGGGUCAGACUAGACAGGCACAAACCCAAAUUUGUACUUUUCCUGGAAAAAGCCAAACAGCUCCAGGACCAGGCCAAGCAGGGCUGGGAUUUCUGGCCUGACACCUGGUCAUGGAAAUCCUGGCUAUUUCCUCUCCUUGGCCCACUAACUUCUGCAAUCUUGAUGCUUCUCUUUGCACCGUGUGUUUUUAAUGCCCUUGUUCGUUUUGUCUCUAACAGACUAAAAGCUGUUAAACUCCAAAUGGUCAUCAGGCAAGACUUCCAGCCCAUUCCACUGGACGACUUGAGCAGCCCUCUGGACCGAGCAACACAGUCUUUCCAAGGCCACUGUUGCACACCAUAAGACCUUGUGUGUUAAAUAGACUCAUCACCUUCGUGCGGAAACAAGUUAAAAAUGUUAAACUCAUGAUCAUAAGACAACAAUAUGUCACAUUAAAAAACACAAAUAAUCUCUAAGAUUAGAGAUCCUCACAACAAGGAGUGGGGAAUGAAGAGUUAAAAUUGUAUAUGUGCGGGUGUAAAAAGUUAAGCUUAAGCUUACAGGUUUAAACCUUCCUGGUACAGCUGUAAAAAUAAGACAGAGUGAAGUAGCACCUUGACAGUAGGGACUCCAUUUUGGAGCACUUGAGACUCCAUUCUGAGAAAGCAACCCCCCGCCCCCACCGUGAGACUCUGGUCCAAAACUAUGAUCUCAAAUAGUCGGACAAUAGCAGUGCACUACAUCACCCUUGGCAACACACAAAAACCCCCUAGCAUGAUUGCUCAAGCUUAAAAGUAAAAAGGUUGCACCUGGGUUACCUGGACUAAUAAUAAAGAUAUAAUUUGUCUAUGUCUUAAGAUCAUAAUUGCUGAUUGUAAGACUUUAGCAACCGCUUAACAACCGUGUAUUCUCUUCCCCUUCCCGGUUUUGCGGUUUUUGCCUUUAUAAACUCUAACCUUUGGUUAUUCGGGGCUGCUCUGUUCAUGAUGAUCAGACAGCCCCAGCAUGCUGGAUAAUCAAUAAAGCUUCCCCUUGCUGUUUGCAUAA